rnacentral:rRNA from 1 species
GGUUAAGUGACUAAGCGUACACGGUGGAUGCCUUGGCAGUCAGAGGCGAUGAAAGACGUAGUAACUUGCGAUAAGCCCAGAUUAGGUAGUAACAACCAUUUGAGUCUGGGAUUUCUGAAUGGGGAAACCCACGUGCAUAAGCACGUAUCGUUAUGUGAAUACAUAGCAUAACGAGGCGAACCGGGGGAACUGAAACAUCUAAGUACCCCGAGGAAAAGAAAUCAACCGAGAUUCCGAAA